AACGAACGCUGGCGGCAGGCUUAACACAUGCAAGUCGAACGCAUCCUUCGGGGUGAGUGGCAGACGGGUGAGUAACGCGUGGGAACGUGCCCUUCAGUUCGGGAUAACCCAGGGAAACUUGGGCUAAUACCGGAUACGUGCGAGAGCAGAAAGAUUUAUCGCUGAAGGAUCGGCCCGCGUCUGAUUAGCUAGUUGGUGGGGUAAUGGCCCACCAAGGCGACGAUCAGUAGCUGGUCUGAGGGGAUGAUCAGCCACAUUGGGACUGAGACACGGCCCAAACUCCUACGGGAGGCAGCAGUGGGGAAUAUUGGACAAUGGGCGCAAGCCUGAUCCAGCCAUGCCGCGUGAGUGAUGAAGGCCUUAGGGUUGUAAAGCUCUUUCGUCCGGGACGAUAAUGACGGUACCGGAAGAAGAAGCCCCCGCUAACUUCGUGCCAGCAGCCGCCGUAA
rnacentral:rRNA from 1 species